AUGCACGCUGGCGGCGUGCCUCAUCCAUGCCAGUCGCGCGAACAGACGAGGAGCUUGCUCCUCUGACGUUAGCGGCGGACGGGUGAGUAACACGUGGAUAACCUACCUAUAAGACUGGGAUAACUUCGGGAAACCGGAGCUAAUACCGGAUAAUAUAUUGAACCGCAUGGUUCAAUAGUGAAAGACGGUUUUGCUGUCACUUAUAGAUGGAUCCGCGCCGCAUUAGCUAGUUGGUAAGGUAACGGCUUACCAAGGCGACGAUGCGUAGCCGACCUGAGAGGGUGAUCGGCCACACUGGAACUGAGACACGGUCCAGACUCCUACGGGAGGCAGCAGUAGGGAAUCUUCCGCAAUGGGCGAAAGCCUGACGGAGCAACGCCGCGUGAGUGAUGAAGGUCUUCGGAUCGUAAAACUCUGUUAUUAGGGAAGAACAAAUGUGUAAGUAACUAUGCACGUCUUGACGGUACCUAAUCAGAAAGCCACGGCUAACUACGUG
rnacentral:rRNA from 1 species